rfam:Ciona savignyi cont_23876, whole genome shotgun sequence.
ACUGGGUUGGCCGAGUGGUUAAGGCGUUGGACUUAAGUUCCAAUGGACAAGUGCUCCGCGUGGGUUCGAACCCCACACCCAGUA